UACGUAGGUGGCAAGCGUUGUCCGGAUUUAUUGGGUUUAAAGGGUGCGUAGGCGGUUUAAUAAGUCAGUGGUGAAAUACGGCAGCUCAACUGUCGAGGUGCCAUUGAUACUGUUGGACUUGAGUACAGACGAGGUAGGCGGAAUUGACGGUGUAGCGGUGAAAUGCUUAGAUAUCGUCAAGAACACCGAUAGCGAAGGCAGCUUACUAGGCUGUAACUGACGCUGAGGCACGAAAGCGUGGGGAGCGAACAGG
rnacentral:rRNA from 1 species